CAGUAACAUGGCGGCCUGAGCGUGAGCCCUGGGCACUGUGGUGUCUCCAGUCCCCACCCCAGGUCAGGAGGCCAGCUUGGUCUAGGAGGAGAGGCUGGACUUUGGAGGGUUUUUAUGGCAUUGUCUGCCCAGCUGCUCCAAGCCAGGCUGAUGAAGGAGGAGUCCCCUGUGGUGAGCUGGAGGUUGUAGCCUGAAGAUGGCACAGCUCUGUGAUUCAUCUCCUGCGGUUGUGGCGGCCACGGUGAUGGAGACUGCAGCUCAACAGGAGUGGUAGGAGGGUACCCGUGGAGGCCAAGUAGUAGGAGCCUUGGAGGGUCUGAAGGCCAGAAUUCUACAGUAAGUCCUACUGAGUCAAGGUGGGAGCAGGGUCGGUGGCCUCCGAAGCUCUGAGGGAGAAUCCGUUUCCUGGCCGUAGAGGUGGCCUGCACUCCUCAGCUUGUGCUGCCCGUCUCGAAUGACUGGAGUUUCCUGCUUCUGUCACUACACCUCCCACCCUCUCCAUCACCUGCUCUGCUCUUACAAGGAUCCGAGUGGAGUCUUGCUCUGUCAUCCAGGCUAGCAGUGGCGUGAUCUUGGCUCACUGCAAUGUCUGCCUCCUGGGUUCAGGUGAUUCUCCUGCCUCAGCCUCCUGAGUAGCUGGAACUACAGAGAAAUGGAAUCAUCGUAUCGCUGAUCUACGUAAACAAAUUGAAGAAUUGUCUGAAAGAAAAUAUGGCAGAAAUUUAGAUAAGGAUAUCCUUAAACAGCUGUUUAUAGCUACUGUGACAGAAACAGAAAAGCAGUGGACAACACAUUUCAAAGAAGAUCAAGUUUGUGCUGUUGUAGGAGCAAGGGAUACAAUGAUGAUCAAGGCAGAUGCAGCCCUUACCUUCAGGUCGUGGAGUCCGGAUACAGACUGGAGGCAGGCAGCUGUAAGAUGUGUGACAAAUGCUGCGCUGGAUCAGCCCAUGGUAUUAGGAGAGCAGGCUCCGGUAGAUUGCAAAUGACCUGCUUUCUUUCGGCUCCCGGGCUGCUUUCGGACACCUGUCGAAUAGGAAAUCCCAAGUAAGCUACCUGCGGUCGUCGGCAGAUCUGAGUUUUCUUCUUGGACACCGAAUACCCACAGCCCUCCAGGCUCCGGAAGAUUGCAAAUGACCUGCUUUCUUUGGGAUCCCGGGCUGCUCUCGGACACCUGUUGAAUAGUAAAUCCCAAGUAAGCUACCUGCGGUCGUCAGCAGAUCUGAGUUUUCUUCUUGGACACCUAAUACCCACAGCCCUCCAGAGACCGAGAGGUUGAUGUCACUCCCAAUAUCAGAGGAAGUAUACACCCCCGUGUGAGAUGUUCCUUAAUGAUAUUCCACGGCGGAGGGGGUGAUAUGACUACAUACAUGGCAGAAAGUGGAAACCCCCCAGGGAUAUUAUUCCCACGAUCCUGGAGGGAAGAAGAUGAUGUUACUUUCAAUAUGACAGAAGGUGGAUGAAGUGGUGGACUGCCCCUCCACACCUGUGGACACGCCCCCACUGAUAUUCCCUCUAAUUGCAGCGUGGGAGAGGAGGAUAUGACACGCCAUAUCGCAGGGAGCAGAAACACCCCUGUGAUACUGUUCUUCAUAUUCAGGGAGGAAGAGGAUGAUAUUACUCCCAAUACAGACGGGUGUACACCCUCUGUACACCGAGGGUGUACACCCGUCUGUGAAAGAGUUCGUAAUCUCCAGAGGGGGAGAUGAUAUUACUCACAAUAUGGUAAAGAGGCUGUGAGUCCACGGAGGAUCCUCAGAGCCAGCGGGGGAAGAGGGGCUGGCUCUGAGACCCCGCCUCGCUGGGGUUGCCUCCCCCCACUGCGAUGGGGGUCCUAAGAGACAGUGGGGGAAGAGGGGCUGGCUCUGAGACCCCGCCUCGCGGGGGGUGCCUCCCCCCCCUGCGAUGGGGGUCCUAAGGGCCAGUGGGGGAAGAGGGACUGGCUCUGAGACCCCGCCUCGCGGGGGGUGCCUCCCCCCCCGCGAUGGGGUUCCUAAGGGCCAGUGGGGGAAGAGGGGCUGGCUCUGAGACCCCGCCUCGCGGGGGGUGCCUCCCCCCCUGUGAUGGGGGUCCUAAGAGCCAGGAGCAGAAGAGGGGCUGGCUCUCUGUACCCGCCUCGCGGGGGGUGCCUCCCCCCCCCCGUGAUGGGGGUCCUAAGAGCCAGAAGGCUUAGAGGGGCUGGCUCUCAGUCCCCGCCUCGUGGGGGGUGCCUCCUCCCCCUGCGACGGGGGUCCUAAAUGCCAGUGGGGAAAGAGGGGCUCGCUCUGAGACCCCGCCUCGCUGGGGGUGCCUCCCCCCACUGCGAUGGGGGUCCUAAGGGCCAGUGGGGAAAGAGGGGCUGGCUCUCAGUCCCCGCCUCGUGGGGGGUGCCUCCUCCCCCUGCGACGGGGGUCCUAAAUGCCAGUGGGGAAAGAGGGGCUGGCUCUGAGACCCCGCCUCGCUGGGGGUGCCUCCUCCCCCUGCGAUGGGGGUCCUAAGAGCCAGGGGGGGAAGAGGGGCUGGCUCUCAGUCCCCGCCGCGCGGGGGGUGCCUCCCCCCCUCGUGAUACGGAUCCGAAGAGCCAGGGGGGGAACAGGGGGAGAGGAUGAUAAUUUCAGCAUCGCAGGCUGUGUUCACCCAGCCUGUUAAAUUGUUAUUAGUAUCCUGAAAGGGAGAGGAUGAUAUUACUCCCCAUAACAGACAGAUAUGACUCCCCAUCGUAGAGCACGAGGUGUACACCCGCCCUGUGAUUUUCUUCCUCAUAUUCAGAGACCGAGAGGUUGAUGUCACUCCCAAUAUCGGAGGAAGUAUACACCCCCGUGUGAGAUGUUCCUUAAUGAUAUUCCACGGCGGAGGGGGUGAUAUGACUACAUUCAUGGCAGAAAGUGGAAACCCCCCAGGGAUAUUAUUCCCACGAUCCUGGAGGGAAGAAGAUGAUGUUACUUUCAAUAUGACAGAAGGUGGAUGAAGUGGUGGACUGCCCCUCCACACCUGUGGACACGCCCCCACUGAUAUUCCCUCUAAUUGCAGCGUGGGAGAGGAGGAUAUGACACGCCAUAUCGCAGGGAGCAGAAACACCCCUGUGAUACUGUUCUUCAUAUUCAGGGAGGAAGAGGAUGAUAUUACUCCCAAUACAGACGGGUGUACACCCUCUGUACACCGAGGGUGUACACCCGUCUGUGAAAGAGUUCGUAAUCUCCAGAGGGGGAGAUGAUAUUACUCACAAUAUGGUAAAGAGGCUGUGAGUCCACGGAGGAUCCUCAGAGCCAGCGGGGGAAGAGGGGCUGGCUCUGAGACCCCGCCUCGCUGGGGUUGCCUCCCCCCACUGCGAUGGGGGUCCUAAGAGACAGUGGGGGAAGAGGGGCUGGCUCUGAGACCCCGCCUCGCGGGGGGUGCCUCCCCCCCCUGCGAUGGGGGUCCUAAGGGCCAGUGGGGGAAGAGGGACUGGCUCUGAGACCCCGCCUCGCGGGGGGUGCCUCCCCCCCCGCGAUGGGGUUCCUAAGGGCCAGUGGGGGAAGAGGGGCUGGCUCUGAGACCCCGCCUCGCGGGGGGUGCCUCCCCCCCUGUGAUGGGGGUCCUAAGAGCCAGGAGCAGAAGAGGGGCUGGCUCUCUGUACCCGCCUCGCGGGGGGUGCCUCCCCCCCCCCGUGAUGGGGGUCCUAAGAGCCAGAAGGCUUAGAGGGGCUGGCUCUCAGUCCCCGCCUCGUGGGGGGUGCCUCCUCCCCCUGCGACGGGGGUCCUAAAUGCCAGUGGGGAAAGAGGGGCUCGCUCUGAGACCCCGCCUCGCUGGGGGUGCCUCCCCCCACUGCGAUGGGGGUCCUAAGGGCCAGUGGGGAAAGAGGGGCUGGCUCUCAGUCCCCGCCUCGUGGGGGGUGCCUCCUCCCCCUGCGACGGGGGUCCUAAAUGCCAGUGGGGAAAGAGGGGCUGGCUCUGAGACCCCGCCUCGCUGGGGGUGCCUCCUCCCCCUGCGAUGGGGGUCCUAAGAGCCAGGGGGGGAAGAGGGGCUGGCUCUCAGUCCCCGCCGCGCGGGGGGUGCCUCCCCCCCUCGUGAUACGGAUCCGAAGAGCCAGGGGGGGAACAGGGGGAGAGGAUGAUAAUUUCAGCAUCGCAGGCUGUGUUCACCCAGCCUGUUAAAUUGUUAUUAGUAUCCUGAAAGGGAGAGGAUGAUAUUACUCCCCAUAACAGACAGAUAUGACUCCCCAUCGUAGAGCACGAGGUGUACACCCGCCCUGUGAUUUUCUUCCUCAUAUUCAGAGACCGAGAGGUUGAUGUCACUCCCAAUAUCGGAGGAAGUAUACACCCCCGUGUGAGAUGUUCCUUAAUGAUAUUCCACGGCGGAGGGGGUGAUAUGACUACAUUCAUGGCAGAAAGUGGAAACCCCCCAGGGAUAUUAUUCCCACGAUCCUGGAGGGAAGAAGAUGAUGUUACUUUCAAUAUGACAGAAGGUGGAUGAAGUGGUGGACUGCCCCUCCACACCUGUGGACACGCCCCCACUGAUAUUCCCUCUAAUUGCAGCGUGGGAGAGGAGGAUAUGACACGCCAUAUCGCAGGGAGCAGAAACACCCCUGUGAUACUGUUCUUCAUAUUCAGGGAGGAAGAGGAUGAUAUUACUCCCAAUACAGACGGGUGUACACCCUCUGUACACCGAGGGUGUACACCCGUCUGUGAAAGAGUUCGUAAUCUCCAGAGGGGGAGAUGAUAUUACUCACAAUAUGGUAAAGAGGCUGUGAGUCCACGGAGGAUCCUCAGAGCCAGCGGGGGAAGAGGGGCUGGCUCUGAGACCCCGCCUCGCUGGGGUUGCCUCCCCCCACUGCGAUGGGGGUCCUAAGAGACAGUGGGGGAAGAGGGGCUGGCUCUGAGACCCCGCCUCGCGGGGGGUGCCUCCCCCCCCUGCGAUGGGGGUCCUAAGGGCCAGUGGGGGAAGAGGGACUG